UGACCACGAGACCGAUAGCGAACAAGUACCGUGAGGGAAAGUUGAAAAGAACUUUGAAGAGAGAGUUCAAGAGUACGUGAAACCGUUCAGGGGUAAACCUGAGAAACCCGAAAGAUCGAAAGGAGAGAUUCAAUGUAUCGUUGUCUUCCAUUUAUUGGCGUGCGAUUGACCGGGAUUCGUCCUGCGAUACGCCGUCGGUUUAUGCGUUAGGCGGCGAUGGCAUGCACUUCUCUCUCAGUAGGACGUCGCGACCGUUUGGUGUCGAUCUACGACCGCGGCGGUAGCCUGUCACGAAUUUAUUCGCGUCAGACCCCGCGUGCUCCGGUCGACUGCCAGACGGUAUAAACGAUAUGGUAUAGGGUCGCUUUUAAGCGUUCGGCCGGUUGCAAGCACGGACGGUUAUUGGCCGUCGGACCUGGUCCGGCAUCGAUGCCGCCUCGAGCUGUUAGCUGCCGUGUCCUCGGACGGACUCUAUUACCGGUCAGCGAUGCUAUUGCUUUGGGUACUUUCAGGACCCGUCUUGAAACACGGACCAAGGAGUCUAGCAUGUGCGCGAGUCAUUGGGAAAUACAAAACCUAAAGGCGCAAUGAACGUAAAGGUUUGCUUAAGUAAACUGAGGGAUGACAGACCGCAUCCACGGAUGCGUGCUUGCAAUCCCGAGGCGCCUCACUCUCAUUGCGAGAAGAGACGCACUCAGACCGUACACGCUAGGACCCGAAAGAUGGUGAACUAUGCCCGGUCAGGUCGAAGUCAGGGGAAACCCUGAUGGAGGACCGUAGCGAUUCUGACGUGCAAAUCGAUCGUCGGAACUGGGUAUAGGGGCGAAAGACUAAUCGAACCAUCUAGUAGCUGGUUCCCUCCGAAGUUUCCCUCAGGAUAGCUGGCAUUCGAUGAGCGAGUCUCAUCCGGUAAAGCGAAUGAUUAGAAGCCUUGGGGCCGAAACGACCUCAACCUAUUUUCAAACUUUAAAUGGAUGAGAUCUCUGGCUUGCUUGAAUAGUGAAGCCAGAGAUUUGGAUCAGAGUGCCUAGUGGGCCAUUUUUGGUAAGCAGAACUGGCGCUGUGGGAUGAACCAAACGCCGAGUUAAGGCGCCUAAACGACGCUAAUGGGAUACCAUGAAAGGCGUUGGUUGCUUAAGACAGCAGGACGGUGGCCAUGGAAGUUGGAAUCCGCUAAGGAGUGUGUAACAACUCACCUGCCGAAGCAACUAGCCCUGAAAAUGGAUGGCGCUGAAGCGUCGUGCCUAUACUCGGCCGCCAAGGCAUGAGAAACGUUCAUAAUAGUUCGUUUUGACGCCCUGGUGAGUAGGAGGGUCGCGGUGGUGUGCGCAGAAGGGUGUGGGCGUAAGCCUGCCUGGAGCCGCCAUCGGUGCAGAUCUUGGUGGUAGUAGCAAAUACUCCAGCGGGGCCCUGGAGGACUGACGUGGAGAAGGGUUUCGUGUGAACAGCCGUUGCACACGAGUCAGUCGAUCCUAAGCCCCAGGAGAAAUCCUAUGUUGAUGUCGGUGUAUUUUAUUUUGAAUAAAAUUUCACACCCAUCGGGCGAAAGGGAAUCCGGUUCCUAUUCCGGAACCCGGCAGCGGAACCGUUUACAAGUCGGGCCCUCGCAAGAGAGUUCGUCGGGGUAACCCAAAAUGACCUGGAGACGCCGUCGGGAAAUACGGGAAGAGUUUUCUUUUCUGUAUGAGCGUUCGAGUUCCCUGGAAUCCUCUAGAAGGGAGAUAGGGUUUGGAACGCGAAGAGCACCGCAGUUGCGGCGGUGUCCGUAUCUUCCCCUCGGACCUUGAAAAUCCAGGAGAGGGCCACGGUAGGUGUCGCGCCGGUUCGUACCCAUAUCCGCAGCAGGUCUCCAAGGUGAAGAGCCUCUAGUCGAUAGAUAAAUGUAGGUAAGGGAAGUCGGCAAAUUGGAUCCGUAACUUCGGGAUAAGAAUUGGCUCUGGGGAUCGGGGCGUGCCGGGCUUGGUUGGGAAGCGGGCGUAGGCCGAUGUGCCGGGCAUGGGCAAAGUGAAAUUGUCCUUGUGACUUAGAUCCGAGCUCGGUCCCGUGUCUAGGCCCCCCGCGGAUCUUUCUUGCUGCGAGGUUUCUGUGCCGGCUUCGGUCGGUCAGUCGUACUCUUCGGCCGCCAUUCAACGGUCAGCUCAGAACUGGCACGGACUAGGGGAAUCCGACUGUCUAAUUAAAACAAAGCAUUGCGAUGGCCCUAGCGGGUGUUAACGCAAUGUGAUUUCUGCCCAGUGCUCUGAAUGUCAACGUGAAGAAAUUCAAGCAAGCGCGGGUAAACGGCGGGAGUAACUAUGACUCUCUUAACAUCCAGAAUUCAAUUCAAUUCAAUCUACUAAAAAGAAAAACGCACCAGAAAUGAAUAAAAGGCAGAUGCGCAGGUUAGCUUAUAAAGUCACGCAACAGCACUGGACCAAAAAUCCUAGCAAAUGUAUUGCUUACAUUUUAGACUGCAAAACUACCUCUACAACACCACCACCAGAUAUAAUGGUGCAAUUCUGGACAAAUGUUCUAACAAGCACAUCGAAUACAUCACCGUACGGCCAGGUAGCGAGAAACGAAAACCUCUCACACAUAUGGAAGCCGGUAACUUCUGAGGAGAUUAAGAAUGCGCUUCCAGCUAGAAACACAGCACCUGGGCCUGAUGGUGUUUCGGCCAAACUUCUGAGGUCGAUGCCGGUGGACAUCCUGGCAAAUGUGCUUAACUUACUGUUACUAAUGGGCCGC
rnacentral:rRNA from 1 species